AGCAGGGGCCCCCCCAUGAGGUGUGUGUGAGGCCGCCUCGCUGUUUUUGAUUGUUAAAAGCUUACACAAUCAUGACUUCCGGCCGCUCUUUCACUGAAAAUUGUUUAAAAACUGCGGAGUGCGGUGACACAAGACUGGUUGAGUGGACAGCUUUUUAAAACAUUUAGAAUGAACGCGUAAGGAAGCUGAACGUGGAGCAGAUUGAGGAGGACUUCGCACAAGACUCGCGAGAAUCACGCUCAAACAGGGAGUCUGCCCUCGGGGAAUGGAUGCCUGGCUUUGGUCCCGACAGACACAUCUUCAUAUUAUGAGAAGUGGAAGCACUGGGAUAAACAAGAAUGCAGGAGACAUCGUGAACAAAGUUCUGCCUGCAUGCCUGUCCUGGGAACCUGCAAAGAUAAAGUGGAAACUACCAGUGUUAUUGCGAGUUAAGACUGGCUGACAAAGCUGUCAGCAACCCAGCAGGAGAGACACUCUACAGCGCAGUAGGAUUUCAAUAUUUCAUAUGUUCCAGCCACGUAUGUGUCUGUUUGUUUUUGUUUUUUUUAUCUAGUCUUGUUUUGGCAGUUACCAAACUGCUCCAGCUGUUUUACCAACACCCUCUGGACUUGAGUGGGUCUGAUCCUAAAUUUCAUUUAGGCGAAAAAAAACAAGACAUACUGCAAUUGCAUUUGUGAGCUGACCGAUACAGUACCAGUCAAAAGUUUGGACACACCCUCUCAUUCAAUGAUUUUUCUCUAUUUUUAUUAUUUUCUACAUUGUAGAUUAAUAUUGCUAUCCUAUCCUAAGUUUAUCUUAAUUUUCUCUGGCUACAAAACACGUGAAAGGACAAGCGUAAAUGGGGCUAGGGCCCUCCUUGACAUAUAUUUAUCUGUGUUUUUCUUCUCCUGAGAACAGUUUACCUUAAGCUCCACUGGAUUAUAAUGAAAACAGAACUCUUUCACCUUGACAUCACUGUAACCUGUGCAAACAGUUGUCUAUUUAAUGCUUUGAAAAAGAAUCUGGAUUGUAUGGCUACCUUAAUUGUACUUGAUAUCUGAACUGUAAACCUUGAGAGCUAAGCCAUGUCAUCAUCUCUGCAGGUUGUCAAUAAAUUAAUUAUGAC